rnacentral:lncRNA from 1 species
CUUAACUGCAUUAAUAGCAUGCCCUCAUGUUGGUUUGUGGCAGUUCUUCUGCAACGUACCCUACGUUAGAACACACCUCAGAAAUAGGUUUGUAUGGGUUGCCACAACUUUGAAACCAGGACAGUACUCUCUGACUGCAUAUGUUGUGGAGGCUUCUUGUUAAAGUGGAUGAAACUUCUGGUCUGAACAUCCUCAAUUGUGAGGAUGUGAGAAAUCCAGACUGCUUCUCCCAUUAUGCUAAAAAUGUACAGGAGAGAAGAGAAGGAAGGAAGGGAAAGGAAAGAAAGGAGAAAAAAAAAAAAAAAGAGAGAGAGAGAGAAAGAACCUCUUACAAAUGUAAUUCUCUCUUGUGUAAAUAGCCACAGUCCUGUUUCCUCACCCAGAUCUAGGUCUUUCAGGCCCAGACCAGACCAAAUUCUGGCCAUUCGAGAAGCUUUAAAAGCCACUUCCUCUUGUAGCCCCUCCAGACUGCUGAGUUGUCACUUCACCUGUGCACACAAUACAACAUUAGACAGAAGUAAAUGAACCAUUAUGCUUCAUACCUAUCUAAGACUUGGCCUUCUUUCCUAGCCGAUCUUGUUUGACCAACAGUAGGACAAAGUGGUCGUAGGAAGCAGGAAAGGUCUUAAAGUCAGUGGGAUAACCGUAGUGGUACGGCCCUACGUAAAAACAAAAGCAGAUUAGAGAAGAGAGUGCUCUAGAGCACACUAUGAGGUAGAUUAUAACUGGUUAGCGAAGAAACAAUCUAACAUUGCUUCUGCAUUAUGUCUUUGCAAAGGAUUAAAUGAUUCCAUCAUUCUUGUCUUCCAGAACAAAACGGUCUGCAGGAUCCUGGUUGACUGCUCAGACUAGCAGAGUGUUGAAACAGCUUUCCAGUGAUGUCAUACAAUGACACUUUCCUGAGUGUUUCCUAAUGUCUAGAGAGAGACGAGCAGAAGGAAUGGGGGAAGAAAAAGUCCAGGGAUCCUUGGCCCAAACUGACAACCUUCAUUCAAAGCCACUAUCUGAAGGGAAGAGAGACGAAUCUAAAGAAUCUCUGUCAAAUGUGUUCAGAAAUGAUGCAGCUGAUCAGCAGUUUAACCUUGAAGCUGCAAUUAAAAAUGUUGGCAAAAUGUCUGAUGAGCUAAAGAAACUAAAUGUGGAAAGCCAGCUGCUGCUUUGUGACCUUAUUUUGAAUUUCAACCAUCCCCUGAAGGCCAAAGAUUUAAGAGAAGCUGAAGAAAAAACUCGGAGUUUGACAGAUUAA